CUUAAAUGAAUUGACGGGGCCCGCACAAGCGGAGGAACAUGUGGUUUAAUUCGAUGAUACGCGAGGAACCUUACCUGGGCUUAAAUGUAGACUGCAUAGCGUGGAAACAUGCUUUUCCUUCGGGACUGUUUACAAGGUGCUGCAUGGUUGUCGUCAGCUCGUGCCGUGAGGUGUCGGGUUAAGUCCCAUAACGAGCGCAACCCUUAUCGUUAGUUGCCAGCGGGUAAUGCCGGGGACUCUAGCGAAACUGCCGGUGUAAACCGAGAGGAAGGUGGGAUGACGUCAAAUCAGCACGGCCCUUAUGUCCAGGGCUACACACGUGUUACAAUGGCCGGUACAGAGGGCAGCUACUGGGUGACCAGAUGCAAAUCUCGAAAGCCGGUCUCAGUUCGGAUCGGAGUCUGCAACUCGACUCCGUGAAGCUGGAUUCGCUAGUAAUCGCGCAUCAGCCAUGGCGCGGUGAAUACGUUCCCGGGCCUU
rnacentral:rRNA from 1 species